UCAUCAUAUAUCACAAUCAUACACAGGUACAUAUACACACACGUAUACACGACAGGUUACAUAUAGUAACCGCUUAUUCAUCCAGAACGCAUAUACAUGUACGUCGAGCGGGCCCACCUCUCAGUCUCUCGAUCUCACUCUCACACGCACGCGUAGAUACAUAUACGUGUACAACAUACAUAUACAUACAUGUGGCCGUACGUGCACGCACACGUACGUCGUCGACGGGACGUAUACGAUUGAUGGGCCGGGAGAAAUGAAAUCAGCCGAAGAAGUGGUGCUUCUUCUCGCCGGCGGCCUCCUCGGCCUCCUUGUGGUCCUUCUUCUUCUCGUGGUGCUCGUGGAAGGCGAAGCCGCCGGAUCCCACGGCCGCCGCCGCCGCGAUCUCCUCCUCGAUCUUGUGCCGGUGCGCGUGCUCCGGGUCCUUCUUCGCCUCGUGCUUCUCGUACUGUAACAUGCAUGCAUAUGUUGUACGAGAUCAUCAUCAGCUCGUUCGUUCAAUCCAUAUAUAUAUAUAUAUAUAUAUAUAUAUAUAUAUAGGUAAUAAAAUAUGAUAAUAAUUAACAAUAAUCGUCGGACGACGACAACGACGACGACGUACGAGUGCGAAGGCGCCGGCGGCGAUGGCGCCGGCCUCGCCGAGGUGCUGCUUGUGCUUGUGCUCCUUCUCCUCCUUCUUGUACGUGUCGUACUCGUCCUCGCCGCCGGUGGACACCACCUCCGUCACCGUGGUCUCCGUGUACUCGGCGGCCUCGCCGUACCCGUACCCGCCGCCGGCGACGGGCUGCUCCAGCUGCUCCUCGUCCUUCUUGUGGUGGAACAGGUGGUGGUGGUGGUGCUUCUCCUCCGCCAUGUGUGCUGUGUGCAGUAGUGGAUAGUGAUCGAGAUGUGACCUUUAAUUUGCUGGAGGAAACAGAUCGAGCGAGUGACAAUUGGAUAUGAGUGGUUGGUGCCUUGGCACUUGCUCGGCUUUUAUAGUCGGAUGGAUGGAUGGAUCGGAGCCGGCAAGUGGACUGUGGUGGCAUGGACGGUGGAGAUGACGUGGUUAUUAUUAAUUAACUGUUGACAUGGAUAUAUUAUUGUGAUGCGGAAAUACGUACACGUGUCAAUGUGUCAUAAUUAAGGUAUGCAUGCACAAGGCACUUGUGUAUAUAGUACUUCUCUGAUUUAUAUCUUGUGGCCACUACGAUUCAUGCAUUGGUCUAGCUAGGACAAGUCAUGCAUACUUUAUACGCGUUAUUAACGCGUACGUACAAAGGUGCGUAAUUUUUGGACGGCGAUUUUUUCAGCCACCCCUGUACUAUACUAGAGGGUACAGCAAACGAAUAAUGUGUCAUUAUGUUCCUGUAUAAUUACAUUUAAUUAACAAACAAUCCAUGUACAAUUACCUAAAUAGUAUUACAUUCGUCAUUUAGAUGAAAGCAAAUCAAUUCUGAGUGCGUCGCUUUGCCCUACCUGUUGUCUAUUGAUUGUACCAGACCGCAGUAAACAAACCAACACCAGUGCACUAAAGACAAGGCAAAACAAUCAAACGAAUAAAAAAUGAUUCGUGGACUAGAUAAUUCGGGUGAUUGAUGGUACCCCUUUUUAUUGAAGUAUUGACUAUUCUUUGUUUCACUAAGUCUCAGUGGAAGCUUUAUUUGUGUUUAACUAGGCUCUCACAUAAACAUUUUAAAUGACGUGAUAAUAGUUUUAAGAAGAACGAGAAGAAAUAAUUUUCAUGCGGAUAAAACUCUCUUUGACUCAAUUACUUACACAAGUUGCCUAGAAUAAUUAAACCAUGCAUCGCGAGUGAUGGUUUCAUCCAUAUCUCGAUGCAUUCUGCUUUGUUUUUUUAAAGCAACACCACGACGAAAUUCUCCACUAAAGAAUGACCUGAGGAGCCUAUUUGGAUGUCCUAAUUUUGAGUAAGUAGGACGAUACUACAUCCGUUCUAAAAUAUAGAUCAUUUUAGCGCGCGCUCUCUCUCUCUCUCUCUCUCUCUCUCUCUCUCUCUCUCUAUAUAUAUAUAUAUAUAUAUAUAUAUAUAUAUAUAUAUAUAUAUAUAUAUAUAUAUAUAUAUAUAUAUAUAUAUAUAUAUAUAUAUAUAUAUAUAUAUAUAUAAAGGUAAUAACUACUAUGCCAGCCCAAAUCAUGAUCUUCACCAACUUGGAUUUGGUUCUCUCGCGAAAAUCGCGAGUUGCAGAGAUGAGAACCCUGAAAAGCAAGAUCCCGAAUAAGAAAAUAGAAACCGAGGAAACCACAAGAGUGAAGACUAGUAGAGUCUCAUCUUUUGUCAUUCUUUGCUCCUUUUUCACUCAAUGAUUCAUUCGAAUUUUCCAACCAAAAAUUCUAUAUGUCUAUUCUAUGAUAUUUCUAUAUAUAUAGAAUAUGAUAUCUAAUAUGACACCCGAUUUGUCAAAGGGAUUGGAUUGGUGACUUACCCAUUCAGUGACUUUGGCACUGGACGUUCCAAAAACGGGUACUAUCGGAUCGGGUGAAUUAGAGAAUAGACAGAGGUCCGUUGGCAUUUCAGCUUCUCUUCUCCUUUCAGAGCCUAUCCGAAAGAUAUAUAUAUAUAUAUAUAUAUAUAGAGAGAGAGAGAGAGAGUUAAUUUUGAGGUAAAUUUAUUUUUUGGAAUUCAAAAAUAUGAAAAUGUGUGAACACAGAUGACGCUGAAAUGGAACGGCCUUCUAAACACUUUCUUUUGGAGGUGUUAAUAGCAGACGACACCAAAAUAAAGAGGGCCUAUUAUACACUGAAUGGAGGUUGAGGUUGGACCAUGACACUUGUAGGGAAGGGCUUCUCCAGCAAGGCUGAAUCUUGAAAGUGAGGUGAACGGAGGACGACAAUGCUGACAAAAUUGAGAUGGGACAAACUAGAUACAUUAAUAAAAAGAGGAAAUGGAAAAGUCACUCGAAGGAUAAAAUGUACCUUCAAUAAUACGUAUAAUUAACAUGCACAAAUAAUUACAUUACAUAUGUUUAGAGAUGGGCGAAUAAGGUUUUUAGGCGGGGAUGCUUAGCUAGUUAGCCACCUCUAGUAAGAGGAGGGGGUUUUGAAGAGAUUGUUAACACAAUAUAUCCUUAUCUCACGGAAUCAAAUUAUAAGUCCUUAAUUGCUUUUUAGCAAUGAGAGAUGUUUAGCACGGCUUCUCUGGAGGGGUUUCUCUAAUUUUCUCUAAAAUAGCUCUGGCUUAUAUACUUUUUUUAAUAAAAAAUAAUUUUUUCAUAAAAACAUUUAUCAGGACUUUUUUUUAGAGGAGCAAGCUAUAAAGGAAGAACCUUGCCAAACAGUCACUAAAUGUCGUGAUCACGAUAGUGACGAGGGCGUUAACUUAGAUGUGGAAAGUUUUUGAUUUCACUACUUUAGCACUUUUGUUUGUUUGUAGUAAAUAUUGUCCAAUCAUAGACUAACUAGGGUCAAAAUAUUCGUCUCGCGAUUUUCAGGCAAACUGUGUAAUUAGUUUUUGUUUUCUUCUAUAUUUAAUGCUUUAUACAUGUGAAGCAAGAUUUGAUGCAACGGAAAAUCUUAAUUUUUUUUGAUUUUUUGGUGAACUAAACAAGGCCAAUAGAGACGAAAACCUGAAUGAAUCUGACUUCUGACAUGCACCACGCGUCUACGUUCAUUGUCCACCGGACCGGGUACCGUAGGGCAGGGGGCAGGGGUAGUGGGCCCCACGGUUGUGUGGGCUAGCUGCACGGCCCACCGACGGACCGACCUCGUGAAUUAGCCACUUGGCCGGUGAUUGGCUGACUCUAUGAGGUACAGUGUCGGCAGAUGGAUAAUCCAUAGAAUAUUCCGAGAUCAGCAUUCAAAAUAUCAGUAACAAAGACAGCUCCAUAAAUAAGUCAGGAAAAGGUAAACAAACAAUUUAUACAUGGGAGUGGAUCAGUGGAAGCAACAAACACGUAUCAAAAGCAAAAAUUAAUGACUCAAACACGUAUCAAAGAGAAAAUUAAUGACUCAUGUGUGCUCAAAGUAUAUUUUAGUGUAUUCUACUCCCUCCGUCCACGAAAGAAUCAAUUUCUAGAAUUCGUGUCAGUCAAACUUUUUUAAGUUUGACUAACCUUUAUAGAAAAGAGUAAAAAUAUCUAUGACAUAAAAUAUGCACCAUAUGAAAGUAUAUUCUAUGAUAAAUCUAAUGAUACUAAUUUGAUACUAUAAAUCUUAGCAUUUUUUUAGAAAUUUGAUCAAAGUUUAAAAAGCUUAACCUAGGACAGCUCUAGAAAUUGACUCUUUCGUGAACGGAGGGAGUACAAAAUUACUUACACCAUUCAAUAACUCUGUUUAAGUACCAUCUAAACGUCUUGAACUAUAAACAAAAGGUGAUUGAUUGUUUACCGUUUAAUAUUUAGAAUAAUAUCGGAGUGCUUUGUCGCAACAUGCAUAACAGAUUCAUUGUUUGUGGCUUAAGCAACCUCUCUGUGUGGUGAUCUUUUCCUCCUUUGGCAUUAACUUUGAGCAAAGGCAGAAUCAUGAUGUGAUGCAAUUGGACCACGAGGAGAAGGUGUCGGCCAGUUUGGACGAAAAAAAAAACAAUGCAAAAGGCUAGCUAGAUAGAGCUUCCCUCACAUCGCAUAUCACGCGUAAUGUGACGAUGGUGACCUUGAACCAAAGAUAUUUAUUCCUCUUUGAUUUGGGGUCCUGCAUAUUCGAUUGAUGGAGAGAGAAACUAACAUUUAACCAACUUUAAUUGGUCCAUUCCUGUCGAAGAUGAAUAAAUUCUUCAUGAAGCACAUAUUUACAGGAAGUUUUCCUUUGGCGAUGGAAUAUUCAUAUAUAUUUUUUAAUCAGUAGAUUACACAUUUGAUUCAGCUAUUCAUGUAUGGUUUUUCUUGUAUGAUACAAGAUAUAUAUCGUCAUUGCGGUUGCGCGCUAUGUUGUCAUUAUUAUGCCAUAGGUAGACUUCUUUUUUUUUGUGAGAAUGCCACGUAUAGACUGUUCCCUUGUGAAAACGAAAUGCACAAGCAUCUGAUGUGAGCAACUAGCUAGCUUGUUGUGACAAGGAAUAUAUGACAAAAUAAAUCUAUUGUUGUACAUUUCAAGAUUUAAUAUGUUAUUUGUAACAAAAACAAAAGGCGAGUAUGACAAAUUGGGUUACACAUAUCAGUCCAUUGGUUGCAACCACACAUUCAAAAAAAUAUCUCCACUCAUUUACGCAUAAAGGAUACACCAAUUUGGCAAUGCGUGUGGGGCAGAAUUCUCCAACUAAUUAAUCACUCAACAAUUAGUAAAAGUAUAGUGUACCAUUAUUAAGGCUAUCUUGAUAAUGAGAGCGUGCCCCAUAUUUCAACUCACUUUGUUCUUCCCCUUUUAUUUUUCUUGUUGUAAGCUGGUGAAGUGACGAUGAUGUACAUCAAAGAUAUACACAUCGGCGAUUGCCAAUGUAACAAAAUAGGAAAGCCUAUCAACAACCAAAUUCUUCAUUAAAGGGGAAAACAAAAAAAUGAGUUAGAGAAGACCAAAAUAUCACUAAAAAAAUAAAGCAUUUUGUAUUUUUCCUAGAAAAUUGGAAGCAGGUAGCUCUUCAUUAAUUCGUUGGGGAGAAAUGGCGUCUAGUUUAAAAUUAAAGCAUGGGAAAAGCCUAGGGAGAAAGAAAACAUAACAACACAUAGAAACUAUGGUUAAUUAGAAACAUAUUGUUCCAAAAAAGCAACAUAUUAUGAAUUUGAUGUUUUUUAAAGAACACCAUUAUUUUUCACCUAACAGAGAUGACACCAUCACAAUUUGAGUCUGAAAUACGGCACUUGGUAUGCCUAUGGAGUCUUUAGGCCUAGGUGUAGAUGUACAUACAACUCUGUGUUUUCUUUCAUAUGUACAAAAAUGCUCCUCCUGCCCCUCUCCCUCCCACAAACUAACAUAAGAACCCCAUUUGUCAGCCUCUACACAAUCUCUCUCUCUCCCUCUCCUUUCUCUCUCGCCUCCAUCUCCAUGGGAGUAGGGGCACGACUAGGCGUGAUGACUAGUAAAGGUGGCUGGGGCAGAGCACUAGGAGUUGCAGAUGACAUAGAAACUGUGUGCAAUGGGAAUUGCAUGAAGAUUGAGCAGGUCCUCAUGGAGCUCUGACCGAUUGACCAUGGCUCUAGCACGUGACGUCGUAGAGGUAGUGGAGGAGGAGGUGGGAUUAUGCACUUGCUGCGAGGAAAUGCCUAGCAGUGCCACCACCUAUAUCAUGCUCAUCAAAGCAUUCGCCAGAUUAGGAGAGAGAGAGAGAGUUAGAGGAAGAGAUUGAAAGAUAGGAGUAUAUGUCCAUGAGGUAGACCUGGUUGGAGGUGGCACGCAAGGGCACCACAAAAAGCAAAAGCCUCAACCUAAGAGGAUGACACACGUGGCAUCAAGGACAAGGCAAUUGAUGUGGGGAGAUGAUGGAGGCAGAAUUCUAGUCGGCCACCAAGAUAUGCAAGAAGGCAGGGUCCACAAAAGGGUAGUGAGGCGAGGGACUAAGUGGCGGCCAUGGAUUUAGAAGUGGAUGCAGAGGCUAAGCAUGACAAACUAGUUACCCCAGUAUCAAUUCCAUUACCGUUGUGCCUGGGAGUGAAGGGUGACAAGGAUGGAGCUUCGAGUGGAGAGACUUGGCAUAUAGGGCACUGCCAAGGAAGCAUGUGGCUUCUUGGAGCUAGACGCGGGAUCUGUUGCACUCACCCAGGCACAACGGUGGCGCAAGCAAAUGCGUGUAGCCACAACAACCCUCCUCCACAUAUGUGCGGGACGCCAUGUAGUUUGGACGGUGCAGCCAAUGAUAGAGAAGAUGCCAAGGAGAGAAUGACAAUGUGGGGAAUUGACGAGUAUGCCCUGUAUGUCAAAAAGUGGUGGGAGAGGAGUAGGGUGUGCAUUUUUGUCCAUACUAAAUACAUGUUUGUUCGUUUUCAAAAAAAAAAUACAUGUUUGUUCAUAUGCCUGUACUUGGGCCAAAAAACAUGUUGUGAACAUACAAAGUGACGUAUUUCAUACUCAAAGAAAAUUGUAAUGGCAUAGAUCCGGAUAGAUGAGAAGUAGUUAUGUCUCUCAUGAAGAUUAAUUAACCCCAAAAACUAAGCAUGACAAACUAGUUAUCCAGUAUCAAUUCAAUCACAAAAGGCAACCCUUCCACUUUACUCCUGUUGUCUUGUAAUAUAAUGUAUUUUAGCAUUUAAAAUUUAUCUUCAAAUAUAAUAUAUUAGAGGACAAAAUCAAUUUUAUAUUAUCAACCAAUAACUAUUAAUGACAUUGACAAUAGUAUCUGAUUAGAAAAUAAAAUAAAGUACACGUGGCUUUUUUAUAUUAUUUUUUAAUUUGUCUUAAAAUUUCUAAAAUAUAAAGUAUUACGAGACAGAGCGAGUAUAUAAUUUGUGCACGGUGACUUAAUGCCUUUAUUUAAUUAAUUAGGCACCGACGAUCCAGAUUAAAGCAGCGCACUAUGAUAGGUUAGGUUAAGGAUCCGAUCCGAUCGAUGCGAGGGCAUCAAUAAUGCGGCUGCCUGCAUCUCCAUAUCGCCAUCACCAUUAUUGGUACCGCGGUGGCCGGUCGAUGGAUGCAGGCCUGGAGCCCCAAUGGCCUUGCAUCGAGUCGUGCCAGGAAACUGAUCGAGCACUUAUUGGUUCUAUGCACAGAUGGACAGGUCAUGCAGAAAUACAAUCUGCGAACAGGUGCACAUGGACACACGAAUACACACCAUGAAUCUAAACACUGAUGUGAUGUCUCUCUCCGAGUCUGCAUCUUUCACUUGCAACUUUUGCCACCUGCGAAUGUACCGAGCCUGGGUUUACUUCCACCCAAAACCUAAAAUUUUUCAAGAUUCUUCGUCACAUCGAAUCUUUAGAGACAUACAUAGAGUAUUAAAUAUAAACAAAAAUAAAAACUAAUUGCACAGUUUGGUCGGAAUUUACGAGACAAAUCUUUUGAGCCUAGUUAGUCUAUAGUUGGACAAUAAUUACCACAAACAAACGAAAAUGCUACUGUGUCGCGAAAUUUUUCCCUAACCAACUAAACACGGCCCAAGUCUUGUACAGUUGAAAUGGUUAUGAUAAAGAGCAGGACUAUUUUUCCUUCUUUUUACAUGUGAGAGAGGAAUCUUUUUUCCUCGUUGAAAUAAUCUGGGGGAGGGCGUGGGUUACUGGAUCGGAGCUAGAACCAUCAAGGCCUUGUUUAGUUCCCAAAUUUUUGGGCCGAAAUGCAAAAAAAUUUGCAAUUUGGCCUUUUGGAAGUAAACGGGCCCGAAAUAUUUUAGGCCUAUUUCGCAGGCCGAAACCGGGGAUGGCAGCCCAAACUUUCACGCGCGGUCGGUCUUAUACGCGGCGGCAGCGUCAACCCUAACCCUUAUCCGCAUUCUCGCCCACCCGCACCGCACACCGGCCGCCGCCGUACUCUCCUCCCUCCCGUUCCUUCCUCCGCCGCCGCCGUGCUCUCCUCCCUCCCGUCCCUGCUCCACACAGCUUUGCUCUCCCCACUAGAUCCAUCCAUUUCCUCUACUUUCGUCGCGUAUACCUUGCGAACCAUGGCCGGGCAUGGCAGCGGCGGCUUCGACGGUGACGAGGUUGGCUUCAACCGGAGCCACAAUAACGGAUCUGCGACCGGCGGCGUCACACGCGACUUCUGGGCCACCUCAGGACCAAGCGCCUUCGGCUCUGGUGCUGGAUCAAGCUCGUACCCCAACCCGCACCUAGGGUUCGACGGUCUUCACAUCAACGCUGGCGACCAAUGGGCAGCAGACGACGUCGACCACUACGCCGACCAUCUCCGCGGAAGCAGGGAUCUAAUGCCGCCUCCCGUUCGCGUCCCGACGGUGGGGGCAUCUCGACGUCCCUUGUUCCGGCCGCCUCGCCAAGCGGGUGACCCUGUGGGGUCAGCAGAGGAAGGUUUCGGCGACCUGUUGUCGCCUGGCAGGGACAGCAACCCCCGAUCUGCACGCACGGCAUCUCGCGGCCGAGGACGCGGUCACCGCUCACACGCAUCUGCCGGAAAGGUAAAGAACACCCUGCCUACCUGCUUCAUACAUGUGAAGUAGUUUAGUUGUAUUUGAGAUUAUUUCUGUAUUGUACAUGUGAAGUACUUUAGUUGUAAAGAAUACCCUGCCUACCUGCUUAGUACAUGUGAAGUAGCUUAGUUUCCAUAUUUUUGUUUAUGUGUGUACUGCAUUGUACCCUGUUCUUGGGUUGCCCAAUUCAUGAAAUCUUGGAUCUGGGAAAGUCCAGAGGGUAGCUUGGCCCUUGGCCGCUUGGAUUCAAUUGUAAACAAGGAUUACAGGGGUGUGAUAGAGGGAGAGGGGUCUGCCACUUACAUAGCAAUGUGGUCAGCCACCCACUCCAGAAUAUGCUAAAGCAAAAGUAAAGAUGCCUGCUCCAAACUUGGAUGCCAAGGCACUGCUACUACUAAUGCAGAAAUUAAGAUACAUAGCAAUUAGGCUUAACUAACAUUAUGCUUUCUGUUUUCAUCAUUUGGCCAUACUAUCAAAUUCAUUCAUUAGAUCACAGCACAUCACAGAAACAAUUAUUUCAGCGAGUAUCAUGCUGCUAUCAUAUAAUCAAUUAUUUCACUAUUACAACUAAGGACGCUUUAGCUAUGCUAAAUGUCAGUAUUCGACUUAGCUACAACUUUUUCUUAGCGAUGCUAGCCCCAAUAAAGAAAAGUAUCCAUAAACUUGGACAUGGUACCCCAUCUAAUGCAAUUGAAACCAUGAUGAAACCUCUAUUGAGAAUGAACCCUAUUGGACCUUGGGUUAUGUAAAUAAAAGGAGAUGAACCAUCAAAGCUUCUGCUAGAACAUCUUUCCCUUAAUCCCCUCAUCAUUUAAUCUUAGAAAUGCAUCUAGCUUCACUCUCCUCGCAAUCUCGCAUACUCAACUUGUAUCCCUAGCAUUGCUGGCCUAAACACAUGUGGACACAUUUAGAUGUCAAUAUAUGGACUAAAUGAUGAAUUUAACUGACAUUAUACUUUUUGUUUUCAUCAUUUGGCCAUACUAUCACGGUUUAGGUCCACAAGAGCAAAGCUAAUUGGACCACAGAAAAUCUAAUGAAGUACUGCGAGUCGUACGUUUUAGAGAUGCACAACGGCAAUUGCCCUGGAGGCCAAAUGAACAAAUUUGGCUGGAAGGGGUUGAGCAGUAGGUAUUAUGCAGCAACAGCUUUGCUGCAUGAUAGGGAACAAUUGCAGGGCAAACAGAGGACCCUUAAGAAGCUGUGGAGGUUCUGUAACCUUGCACGCACGCACACUGGCGUUAAUAUAGAUGCCGACGGGUUCAUCCAUGCUACAGACAAGUGGUGGAACGACAACGCUACGGUAUGUAUUUCAUGCACUAUCACAUUUCCAUUUGCAAUGUACUUGUACAACUCCAAGAAUAUGUAACCGUUUCACUUGUUGCAGGAAUGCGAGUUCAUGAAGAUUAGGACAAAUGGUCUGCCUCCGUACUUAGAACAGCUCGAUGAGAUGUUUGCUGGCAACACAGUUGAUGGGUCGUCAUCGUACGUUCCAGCUGCUGGUCCAACAACUCAAGUGCAUGAAGUUACAUCUGAUGACGAAGGUGCAGAUGACGAGGACACCCCUACUCCUAUGAGCCUUGGGACCAAAGGACAGGAAGCACUAGCACAACUGCAACGAGCCCGAACAAGAAGACCAAGAACACGUACGCGAGGGUCAUGAACCAGCACAUGAGCUCGCAUUUAGAGCUUGCUAGAGAGAGGCUAGAGGUACACAAAAAUGCCCUUCAGAAGAAAGCACAGGACAAGGACGCCGCAAGGACAACUGUGAACUGGAAAAUAGCUGAGUGCUCUAGGAUUGCUGAGCAUGAGUUGGGCAUAUCUCGAGACACGCCAGCCCUGUUGGAUGGACUGCUUGCUCUGGCUGAGAAUGAAGCUCAGAUGGACUUGUUCCUUUCCUCAAGUAAGACAGUGAGGAUAAGAAUCAUCCAGAAGCUCGCCAGCAACCCUCCGCCGGUGGACCCCUAGAACACCUUCCAUCUAAUGCAUGUAGCAAUGGCACAAUAGUACCACUGACUGUGCAGUACCUUUUGCUGGAGAAGGAACCGAUGCUUUUAGUUGUGAUGUAUGUUGUAGUGCGUACGUGUGUGUGGUUUUAUUUCUUUCUUUUCAAGAACUGGGAACUCUAUGUUGUGAUUUGUUUCGAAAGAGCUUUGAAUGUACUAAUUUGUUUGAUGAACAAUCUUUGUUGCACCAUGAAUUGUUAUGUACUAGUAUGCCACUUUUGGGGCAUUAUGAUGACACUCAUUGUGUUCUACCAUAUGCUGACUACUCUGUGCUGUAAUUAUGGCAGGGUAAGAGUUCUUGGUAUGAUGCACAAAGGGAGGAGUUGUUGCAGUAGUUGGAGAAGGAAGAAGAUGAGUUGCUGGAUGAGUUGAUGGAAGAUGCUGAGGAGGAUGAGUUCAUCUUUGGUAUGUACCAAUAUGCAAUGCACAUUGACAAGUACCUGUGUAGAGCUGAGUAUAGAGUUCCUAAAAUGAGUGGCAUUGAAUGGGUUCAUGCUAAGACAACCAGUGAGAAGUCAUGUUACAACAUGUUUAGAAUGACCCCUACAAUGUUCUUUACCUUGCAUGACCUUUUAUGUGAUAAGUACGGUCUGAAAUCGACAACCAAGUUGACUUCUUUUGAGGCUCUAGGGAUGUUCUUAUGGAUGGUUGGGGCACCACAGUCUGUUAGGCAAGCUGAGGACAGAUUUGAGAGGUCCUUGGGGACUGUCUCAAAAAUGUUCAACAGAGUCUUGAAUAGCCUUGUGCAGCUAGCAGCAGACAUCAUUAAGCCAGUUGACCUAGAGUUUAGAACACUGCAUCCAAGGCUUAGAAAUCUUAGGUUUUAUCCACACUUCAAGGACUGCAUAGGGGCUAUGGAUGGGACUCAUGUCCAAUGUGUAGUGCCAGAUGACAUGUUUGUUCAGCACUUGUCCCGCAAGGGAAUCACUACACAAAAUGUCAUGGCUUGUUGUGACUUCGACAUGAGAUUCACCUUUGUGAAUGCUGGUUGGCCUGGAUCAGUUCAUGACAUGAGAGUGUUCAAUGACUCGACAACAACAUAUAGCGCUGUGUUCCCACAUCCACCUCAAGGUACUGACUAAUUGGUACACAUAACUGAUUGUAAUAGUUGAUGACACUGUGGCUAACUUCUUGUUUGCUAAUGCAGGGAAAUACUAUCUCGUGGACUCGGGCUAUGCGAACAAACAGGGGUACCUAGCUCCUUACAAAGGCAACAAGUACCAUCUGCAGGAGUUCCGGGACGGGCCGGAGCCACAAGGUAAAGUGGAAAUCUUCAAUUAUGCGCACUCUAGCCUUAGAAAUGUUAUUGAGUGGGCAUUUGGAGUUUUGAAAAUAAAGUGGCGCAUGUUGCAAAAGAUCCCUCCAUACGCACCUCACAAGCAAUCCAAAAUCAUUGUUGCAUGUAUAGCCCUGCAUAAUUUUAUGAGAAGCAGUGGCAUACCAGAUAAGCACUUCCAUAGGUGUGACAAUAAUGAGAACUAUGUGCCGCGACAAGCGUAUGAGAAUCAGCCACCUCCUGAGGUUGUCGAAGAUGGUCCAAACCCGAUGGCUGCAUUCCGUGACUUGCUUGCUUAUGCUAUGGUAACUGGUUCGUAAAAGUGUUGUGAUUCUUCACAGGUUUAUUUAUUUGAUUCCUGCAGUUUGUAAGAAUUUUUUACGACAGUUUUGAUUUCAUGCGAUUUUCUGUGAAUGUUUGAGGACAUAUAUGAGCUGUGAUGUUUAUUGUAGCAUUGUUGAGCCCAUUAUGUGGUUGUAAUAGGAAAUAAAUGUUGUAAUAGGAUGAUUACAGUUUUUUUUAAAUAAAGUGUGCAUGAACAGUGCCUGUGAUUUAAUAUAUACUUAAAUCUAUGCAUGUUUUGCAUGGUGCCCAAACACAGGAACAGCAGCAUUAACGGCAACCUGCAUAUGCAUGGGGUUGCAUGGGUACCAUUUAAUGCAGCUGCAUGACAUGCAGUUUUAUAAAAUAUUUUGGCAAGUAAACAACAAAAGCAAAAUACUUGUUGUCAGUAUUUUGGUAUGCUGAACAUUCUCUUUGGGAUUUUGCAAUUUUGCAAAAUAGUUCAGAAACUAAACAAGGCCCAAAUCCACCCACGUACCCUAUGUUGCAUAGAUUCCUCUCUCAAUCGCAAUACCAUCUAAAUUUGACAGCUCAACUAUCAAAACUGUUUAAUAUUAACCCUAUAGUCAUCUAAAACCACUCAAAGUCGCCUCCAGGGUUAAAAUUUAACAGUUUUUUUGAUAAUUAAGUGCCAAAGUUAGACAAAAGCAAGAGGUCAAAAAUAGACUUAACCCAGUACUACUUUAGUUUCUUUUAUUUAGACAUUUAUGAUUUUGUGUCACAUGUUCUUUAAAUUAGACAAUGGUUUUUGUAGUAAUUUAUGACAUACUGUAACGACAUAAACUAGCUAGUGGUCAAAUUAAGUAUAGUGAAGGAUCAGUUUUCCCAAUAUCCUUAUAAAAAGAAAUGUUGGGAGGGCCUUAUUAACCUUGCACCAAUCGUCUCAAACAUUUCAUAUCGUCUUGCGAGGAGGUGAAAAUGAAAUAAACUUUUUAUUUGUGAUUGUGUCCGUUUUCCUGUCCCACCACCCUAAAAAGGCGGAUGGAAAGUUUUGGCAAAAAAAAAGGAAAUGAAAUGAAAUGGCCUCAUCCCAACUUGAGUAACGGAUUGGGUCAAGUUUCCUACGUGGGCUGUUCCAACUGCGCCGAGCAUAUCUUGAAACGCUCGAGCCCCAGUACUGUUGCAACGGGACGAGUUUUUAUAUAAAUUACGUUAUAAAUCUUAGUAUUUCUCUCUAUAAUUUUAGUCAAACCUGAAAAUACUUUAACUCUCUAAGAUUCUUGGAAUGACUUAAAAUUUGAAAUGGAGGGAGUACAUGAUAUAAGUAAAAUUUUCGUGUCAAAGGAAAAUACCAAAGUGAAUUUUGAAUUGGCACAUACCACAUAUCUGGUACGUUGAUGCUUUUCAUUCUUUCUCUUUCUUUCUUUUUUUUUGCUUUUUUUUAAUCCCUGUCGCUGCCUUCUUUUAAUCGUUGUUGACAAAAGGAGGCAAGUCAAUCCUUAUCGCGUUGGCAUGAGGAGGCAGGGCGGUGGCGGGACGCGUGUAGGGCAGGGGCCGACAGGCAGCGAUGGGCCGAAGGAUCGAACGGUGCCGGCGCUGGUACUGUUAACACUACAAGAAAUAAUGCUAUACAUGACGGUUUACUGGUGACGUUCUAAGAAAACAUCACAAAAUUCUAUUAUUUGUGACGGUUCAUUUUUUAGGUGAUACAUCUAUGACGAUUGGUUAAGUUAUCGUCAUGGUUGGACGUCAUAGAUCAUUUUGGCAUUUUUAUGGUAGAUCUUAACUGUAAAGUUACAUCUAAUAUUUAAAGUCAAAUGAAUUAUAACUCCCUAGGUGUUAGGUAGUCAUUAACACAAAUUAUAGAUGCAUCAACAAAAAAAUAAGAAUUGUUAAAAAAGAUCCUCACGUCCGACUCUAGAAAAGCCAAGUAAUUAAAAAAUCAUAAAUAGAAAAAAUAAAUAUAAUUGCGUAGAAAGAGAAAUAAUAACAAAAAAAAGAAGAAAAGAACACACCUAAAAUAGAAAAAAAAUUAAAAACAAAGAGAAAGAGAAGGACUACUCGUCAGCAGGUCCUUCCCUAUCCCCAUCGUUUUCACGCCCGAGGCCCGACUCCCUUGAGUCCCUUCGUAGUCUCCCUCUCUCCCUCUCGAUCUCCUUCACAGUGCCGCUCUUCCUACUCCUCUCCCCAACACGCAUCCACAUCUGGCCGCUGCCCCCUCCCUGCUCUUCCCCCAUAGGUGGCGCCUUCGCAUCCAGCACCCUCCUCGUCGGUCGCUACCCCUUGGCGCUCCUCCCCUUCUCUCCGGCGGCCCCCCUUCUCAACUCAGUGUCCAGAUCUGUUGGUCCGAGCACAACCGCCGCCCGUCCAGGUGCAACCCCAAGGCGUGCCACCAUCCGUCCAAGCAUGGCCCCAAGUCCGCCGUCGCCGGAGGUGCCCUGCCACCGUCCCUGCUCUGCCUCGACGCAUGGGCGUCUAGAUCUACAGCAGCGAGCACUCACAGGAAUAGGUAUGCCUGUCCUUUCUCUUUCCUUUUGGGCAAAACUAAGCAAUGGUACCCUAAUUUAAUCUAUUGGGCUAACAGAUCUGAAUUGAUCUAAACCCCGGUGUAUGGACCUUGAAGCAAAUACAGAAAUAUAUGCCAAAAUCAUGAAUUAUAGCUAUUCUUCACCUUGCUAAGUCAGGUACUUUGCAAAACUAUUGCUGAAAUGAGUUUUCACCCCAAGAUGUCAAAGGAAACCUCUCAAGAGAAUUAGGAAUUUAUUUUAAAAAUGUAUUUCAGUGUUCGAUUGGAUAAAUGUUGACAGCUAUUGAGUCCUUGUAUGUGACCAGAGGUACUAUAAGUGCCAUUCAUUUAUAAAGACAGAUAGUGAAAUGCAGUUUCAUUUGGGAUGCUUCUAUAUUAAUAUUACUUUACAUGAGCGACAUUGAACCAUUAUAUCCACUAUUUAAAUAUGAAAAUUAUUUGCAAAGUACUAGUUAUGCAAAGCCCACUUUGGCAUGGAGGAGAAAAUGUUUCUAGAUGUUUUAGGCAAUUUAAUUUCCCUACUACAGAGUGCUAGAGCACUGAACAAUAGGUACUGAGUAUCAAUUAUUAUUCAAAAUAAAUAUAUGGAUGCAAUGUGCUGAAAUAGAUGUCUGCACUAAUAAAGAUUUAGUGGUGAUUCACUGAAUGCUGUUAUAGAAAUAUUAAAUAUAAAUGACUUGUUGUGCAGUGUGCAUUUGUACAUAUGUUUGGAAAUAGAUUGCAAGAUUGACGUUGUGCUUCAUGAUUUCUAUUUCUUGCUAUUGAUUUUGUUUUUCUUAAACCUUAAUCAUUCAGAUAUGCAAGCAAGUGGCAGCACUUUUCUCAAACUUUAAGGUAUGAACAAAUUCGAGUGGACUAUGUGGCAGCAUUGCUCUUAGGCUCUAAAGGCAUGCACUGCUCAGUUUUGGGUGAGUAUUGUAUUAGUCCUGCACUUCUUUGGCACAUUGUCUCUAUGUAAUUGAAGGCUUACAAUUUGUUGGCUCGUAGUUGCACGGUCUAGGAUCCAAUGCUCAUGUUUCUCCACACAUAUGAGUCUUAAUUGGCCAAAAGAUUUGCAUUUUUGUUCAAAUAUAGUACCUUUGCACAUGUGAGUUUUAUUACUGAUCAAGUAUUCUCUGCAGAUGUUUUAUGAGGCUAUCUAUGGAUUGCGGCAAAAGGACCAAGGCGGUCAUGGUGGCUAUUUUCAUUAGUCAUUAAAGAUUUUGUUGUGCGAGCAAAUCAUCUGAGUUGUUGCUGUACAAGCCAACGUCUUAGUUUUGUAGGUACUUGAGUGUAGCUUGGUUAUUACCUUAGUAUUUCGUGUGAAAUAUUGUACAAGUACAAAUGUUGAUGGUUUUAAUGAAAAUGAUGAGCAAUAUUUGUCAAUUGUGAGUUUUGUUCCAGUUUAUGUGUUUUUCAUGAGUGUUGCAGCAAAACCAUGACAGUUCAGUUCAUCACCAUAGUCUCUUCCUAUUAUUGCCUCUGGUUCGUUCAUGACGAUCAAAAAAACCAACCCGUGACGUUAUAUUUUGGUCCAAAAAAUGUAUGACGAGGAAUAGAUGACGUUUCUAUGGACCGUCAUAGAUAGUUAACCGUGACGGAUUUUUGCUUGUCCGUGACAAAAUCAAACCGUCAUGUAUAAGUUAAUUUCUUGUAGUGUAAUGUACAGUGUUCUGAGUCAGGAGCCGUGGUAUACACUUAUAAAGGUAUGGAGUAGAAGUAGAUAUGAUGGUUGGGCUAUGGCUUAAUUAACUAAAGGAAUCACGAAGGGGCCAUGAGCAGGCCAUUAACACCCCUGGAUUGUUGUACCUUUCACCUCGCCAACAUGAAUUCCUCUCCAUUCUCCUAAUCGGGAUUUGGGAAAAACAGACUUAUGAUUUAUGAACAAUAAUCAUUUUAUUUGUAGCAGGUUGGCACGUAUAUACAGUGCCGUGUUUGUACAAGAACACCUAGCACACCACGCACGCCUCCGGCCUAGCUAGCUUUAUUCGACCUCAACUCCGGCCGGCGGCGUGCUUCGCUAGCUGCUCACUCGGUCACUCCCUUACGUCAGCCUGCUGGCUCCCCGGCCGGCCGGGAGCGGGCACGGGCGGCGGCGAGCCAAGGUGGUGUGCGGCCUCCUCGCCGUCGCAGAAUCCACGCAGCACGUCGGCCUCCUCGGCGGUGAACCCGACGGAGGCGAGCAUGGCGGGCCAGCAGUAUCGCGUGGCGCCGCGGAUGGCGACGCAGCACUCCGGGCCGAUGUAGGACUCGCCGUUGACGAAGAAGAGCAGGAUCUCGCUGUAGCACGAACUCAGCCCCAUCACCGCGGCCCAGCACUCCGCGAACCCGCCCUGCUGCUGCUCGCCGGCGCCCUGCUCCUCGCCGGCGCCGUCGAGGGAGGUGGUGGUCGACAGGUCGUGGAGGGCCUGCAGGCGCGCCACCCAGGGCCGCCUAGCGACGCCUAUGGCACGCGGCGGCGUCACGGCGCCGACGCCGUGGGUGAGGACGAGGAGCGCCGCGAUCAGCGCGACGACGACGGCGGCGGUGAGAGUGAGACGUGGGCGUGGUGCCGCCGCUUCCAUUGCCAUUGCCAAGUGCUCGAUCUUGUGCACGCUCGUGGCGGUCUUUGUGUGGGUUCCGGCCGGAGUAGAAGAUGGAUGGAGAGGCCGCCGGUGGUUCAGCCGGGAUCGAGCUGAGGGUUAUAAAUAGCAGCACGCAGCUGGUGGUGAAUUGAUGAUCAUGCACGUACGCAUUCAAGUUGGAGUUGGAGUUGUGAGUGGGCGGCGAAUUCAUAGCAUAGAUGAGUAGUGCUCUCGCCGUCUCCGGCGCGGCGUUCAUGGAAGGCCAAAGGACUUUCAAUCGACGAUUAAUUAGGAAGACGAAUGCCAAAGGUCCAAAUGUUCUGUUUCUGUAUGCUGACAUCAAUCAACUUCAUUGCCAAUUAACUGGAGAACAAAGAAAGUUCAGAAUCACUCUACUGAGGCUCUAUGGACUGAAUUUUGAGCUGGCUCAGUUGCUUGUUUGUUCUAAAAUUAGUGGUAAUUCUGAGUGGAACUUCGUUCUGCUAUGACAGGAACACAUACUAUACCGGUCUUAGUCUUACUGCUGUUUUUUUAGCCACUGUAUAGAUAAGAUAAGGCUUGGUCCUUGGUUCGUGGAGGAUGUUUUUUUUUUUAAUCUAUCUUGCUCGUCGCCUCAUCUCCAAUGAGUUUUAAUAUUUUCGAUCAAAGCCAUAGGACUUGUUUAGUUCACUCCAAAAACCAAAAACUUUUCAAAAUUACUCGUCACAUCGAAUCUUGCGACACAUGUAUGGAGCAUUAAUGCCUUGUUCAGUUCGUGAAAAUUUUUGGUUUUGGCUACUGUAGCAAUUUUCGUUUGUAUGUGACAAUUAUUGUCCAAUUACGAAGUAAUUAGGCUCAAAAGAUUCGUCUCGCAAAUUACAGGUAAACUGUGCAAUUAGUUUUUAUUUUUGUCUAUAUUUAGUGCUUCAUGCAUGCGUAUAAAGAUUUGAUGUGACGGGAAAUCUUGAAAAUUUUUGGAAACUAAAUAAGGCCUAAAUAUAGACGAAAACAAAAACUAAUUAUACAGCUUGCCUAUAAAUCAUGAGAUGAGUCGUUUGAGCCUAGUUAGUCUAUGAUUGAACAAUAAUUGUUAAAUAAAAAUGAAAGUACUACAGUACCUAAAACUAAAAAGUUUUCGGAACUAAACAAGGCCUUAUAAUCAAAUAUUUGAUUGCAGGAGCUAGACACAUAGGUUGUAUAGAAACUUAUAGACGCUUGGUAUGCACAAGAACCCAUAUGCCAAGUAUUUCACAUAUACAACUUUGAUUUUUAAUGCCAAGUAACUUUUGUUUUCGGGUUUUAUGCAGUUACCCAAUCCUAAACUCAUCAGAAAUCAACAUCUUUUAACGUUUUGGGUUUCAACACAUAAAAUUUAUUUGGACAGUUUUGUCUGACAGUAGUUUGGAAGUAUUAGAGUUUUUUAUUUUAUUAUAUUCUUCAUAAAUAUAUUACAACAUACUAAACUAGAACUCAAAAUUCCCAUUAGCGAACCUUGUACUGUGUCGAACCAAGGAAUUUUAAAUGUCAAGAGAAAUACUAACCAUAUGAAGAAAAAAAACAUGCAGCUUCUUCUUAAGGUCUUGUUUAGUUCCCAGAAAAUUUUGCAAAAUUUUUUAUAUUCCCCGUCACAUCGAAUCUUUAGACACAUGCAUGGAGUAUUAAAUAUAGACGAAAAUAAAAACUAAUUGUAUAGUUUGGUUGGAAUUGACGAGAUGAAUCUUUUAAGACUAGUUAGUUCAUAAUUAGAUAAUAUUUUUCAAAUACAAACGAAAGUGCUACAGUAUCGAUUUCCCAAAAAUUUUCAGAACUAAACAAGGCCUUAAUGAAAUGAUAUGCAACUCUUCUGCGUAUUCGAGAAAAAAAAUACUACCAUAGUUUUUUUUUGUAUUCUUAGAGCAUAGGUACAUAAAUAUAACUCCUUAUACAUGAGCUGUCUGGUUUUUCCUUUAGUUGUGCAGCUGUUUUUUUUCUUUUCAGAAUUUCUUCAAUCGAAUUAGUACAGCAGUUUACUUUCAGUCAUGAAAUACGAGGCUGUGUAUGACCUGUAUUAUACAGUACAUGGUCGGAUCACUUACUAUUUGGUCUGCAUUGCUUAGAUCAAAUUAGUACAGCAGUUUUCUUCACCUUCACUUUUUUGCACAUGAAUUGGUUGUAUCAUCCACGUGAGCUACAUGGGAGUGUAUAAGCACAGUGUGAGCAGAUAGGAGAGGGAAUUAGGAGUUUAAGUUUGAGCAUAUCUCUGCCACAACCUACUGAUGUAGCACGAUCAGCUGGAAGUCAAACUAUAGAUGCCAUUACGAGUGUGUGACAAGUAAGACAUUUCCAAGAUCAUUUUGGGACAAACAUGUUUCUUUUAUCUAUUGGUUUGUAUCAUUAACCAAGUUUUUUUUUUCUUUUCAAAAUCGGCCUAUUCACCCAUAUAUUUCAUUAAGAGGAUUAAAGUUUCCAAACCACAUGGUCGACACACGGCAGUGAGAGGCCACCAAUGCGCAGCCAAGAACAACCUAAUUUUAGUUCAGCAGUAGUAAAUUGAAACUCUUAUACUAGUUAGAUCUAUAAAGCUUUGUCUUUUUUAUAAAUGUGCUGCAAAAUUGAAAAAAUGAGACCAUGUCAUCAUACAUAUAUGUAGCAUUCAGUUAUCAGCUUUAGGUUGCAGGGAUUUCUUUUUUACCUGUUUCUGAUCAUUACAAAUAAGUUCUCAUAUAUUCAGAUUUGCUCCUGACAUGCAUCAAUUCGUGUCACACCCAAUUUCAAGGAAGAAAUUGAAUGCAUAAACUUAUGUGCGCCCAGAGAUCAAUCACACACAUAAGUCACAAAUUAAAUACCAUCAUCGCAGUGUUUACAACAAACGUAGUUAUUACAUCACAAAGUCUGGCAUAACAGCGGAAAUAUAAAUAUGAUAAUCUAAGAUAACUAUCUCAUGGCCCUCACACAGGAAAGGUCGACUGGUGAAGCACAAGCCUAAUAGUCCUCAGGGUAGUCCUCAUAGCCACCACCAUCUGUUACCCAUCCGGGAUUUUUUUCCAAAGAAGAGAAAUAUACAAGCGUGAGUACAUCUCGUACUCCACAAGCAUAGCAUGAGGAUUUAUGAGGCUCAAACAGGCUAAACUAGGUUCACUGCAUCAGCUUUUAGUAGGUCAGUGUUUUAUCAUUAAUUAUUAUAGUUUAUGCUUAAGCUCCCAAAUAUCCCAUAUGAUCAGUUAUUAGAACCAUAGAAAGUCAUUAAGUCACAUUAAAGCAUAAUUAUACAUCAUCAAGUACCAUAUAGCCAUCAGUAACCAGUUAUUCUGUGAGUUUUCUGGGCCGCUCGUGACCGUGAGCACGGCUGUUAUAACAGUUAUACACUCUGCAGAGGUUGUGCACUUUCACCGUGAGUCGUGUUGCCCAUAUGCCCGGGAUCCGUGGACCCCCAAACACUACCAAGGUGAGCGGGCAGGGUACACUAUGAAGCCUUCCAUAGGCCUAUUCUAACCAGUUAGGGCCGCGAGGUUUCCUCGGCAGGCAGAUGUAGAAAACCCCCCUUUCCUAUGGCACAUUUCCAUCGCGGCUAUACUCAUAGAAACAGGGGCAGCCCUACACCCAAAGUGGCAAGCGCCUCUUGCGCCCUUUCGGGUAACCUCUAACGAGUUAGAAAAGGUCCUAUUACUGAGCUAAAGUCAGAGCCAUAUGACUCUCCCGGUUGCACUGUAAGUCCCAGCUUUUGCCGACAGAUAAGUCCUUACGGAGGGUCUAGGACAACUGACCAACAGUCAUUUGUACCAUAGCCCUAUGUUCCAUUUAUCAUAAUCAUGUUUAAUCAAUUAACCAUGGUUCCAUCACUGAUUUCAGAUCAUAUAUAAUUGGAGUUAGAGCACUAGCACUUCUACCCAUAUGCAAUAAAAACCCUUGGGAACAAGGUAAUUGUCAUCAACAGCUAGGAUGUCCUUAUAGGUUGCAAUAUUAUACACAUGCAGGGUGAAAUGCUUAAAAAUGAGUAGGACAACAAGGUAGGCCCAUGCUAUACUUGCCUUGAUUCAUGUACUCCUGCUGGUCUUGCUGGUCCUGCUGAUCCCCAAAGAGCUCCGGACUCCCGAAAUACUCCUCACCGUCUGGGCUCGAUCAAUACAUCACAAUCAUCACGCAUACCAAGACAAACAUGCAAGAGAACAAUUCCUAAAGUUAGAAUAGUACACCAGCAGUAAAUAAAUUAAAUAAAAGUUUUCCAAAAUCAUCUACGUGCUGCUACGAUCACGUCAACGCGAAAUUCACGAAAAACGGAACUAAAAUGACCAAAUUACGACUUUUCGGCGAUUUCCUAUAGGCAAUUAAUUAAUUAAACCUAACCCUGAAAAUAAAAAGUUGCAACUACAGAAACAGUAGUACUAACAUGUAGAGAAUUUAAUUACAAACCUAACGCAAUUCGAACGGGUCAAAUCGGAGCUAUAACGAAUAUUUUAUGGCCAAAACACUGCAGUGGCAAUUCUGUAAUUUUCUGAAAACGUAAUUUGACCUAACCGACGGGAUUUACGCUUUCUAAAAGACAAAACGUAUUCAUCCGAAGGCGCUAAGGACCGCGGCCGAAUUUGGAAAUCUGGGAGGGGCUUUUUAAGCAAAAUUUCCCCCCGAAGGGGUACGGUGCAUCCAGGGCCGUUGAUCUCUUGAUGAACGCCCGAGAUUAGAAGGGGAAAGGAAGGGGGAGAGGAUGGGCGGCGCUCCUGGCCGGCGCUGCAGCAGGAGGCGGCGGCG
rnacentral:lncRNA from 1 species